UACCAUCAACUGUAUAAUAUACCUCUUCAGGUAAUAUACCAUCCACUAUAUAAUGCACCUCUCAGGUAAUAUACCAUCCACUAUAUAAUAUACCUCUUCAGGUAAUAUACCAUCCACUAUAUAAUACACCUCUCAGGUAAUAUACCAUCCACUAUAUAAUACACCUCUUCAGGUAAUAUACCAUCCACUAUAUAAUACACCUCCUCUCAGGUAAUAUACCAUCCACUAUAUAAUAAUCCUCUCAGGUAAUAUACCAUCAACUGUAUAAUGCACCUCUUCAGGUAAUAUACCAUCCACUAUAUAAUAUACCUCCUCUCAGGUAAUAUACCAUCCACUAUAUAAUACACCUCUUCAGGUAAUAUACCAUCCACUAUAUAAUAUACCUCUUCAGGUAAUAUACCAUCCACUAUAUAAUACACCUCUUCAGGUAAUAUACCAUCCACUAUAUAAUAUACCUCUUCAGGUAAUAUACCAUCCACUAUAUAAUACACCUCUUCAGGUAAUAUACCAUCCACUAUAUAAUACACCUCUUCAGGUAAUAUACCAUCCACUAUAUAAUACACCUCUUCAGGUAAUAUACCAUCCACUAUAUAAUGCACCUCUCAGGUAAUAUACCAUCCACUAUAUAAUACACCUCUUCAGGUAAUAUACCAUCCACUAUAUAAUACACCUCUUCAGGUAAUAUACCAUCCACUAUAUAAUGCACCUCUCAGGUAAUAUACCAUCCACUAUAUAAUACACCUCUUCAGGUAAUAUACCAUCCACUAUAUAAUAUACCUCUUCAGGUAAUAUACCAUCCACUAUAUAAUACACCUCUUCAGGUAAUAUACCAUCCACUAUAUAAUACACCUCUUCAGGUAAUAUACCAUCCACUAUAUAGUACACCUCUCAGGUAAUAUACCAUCCACUAUAUAAUAUACCUCUUCAGGUAAUAUACCAUCCACUAUAUAAUAUACCUCUUCAGGUAAUAUACCAUCCACUAUAUAAUACACCUCUUCAGGUAAUAUACCAUCCACUAUAUAAUACACCUCUUCAGGUAAUAUACCAUCCACUAUAUAAUACACCUCUCAGGUAGUAUACCAUCCACUAUAUAAUACACCUCUUCAGGUAAUAUACCAUCCACUAUAUAAUAUACCUCUUCAGGUAAUAUACCAUCCACUAUAUAAUACACCUCUUCAGGUAAUAUACCAUCCACUAUAUAAUACACCUCUUCAGGUAAUAUACCAUCCACUAUAUAAUGCACCUCUCAGGUAAUAUACCAUCCACUAUAUAAUACACCUCUUCAGGUAAUAUACCAUCCACUAUAUAAUACACCUCUUCAGGUAAUAUACCAUCCACUAUAUAAUACACCUCUUCAGGUAGUAUACCAUCCACUAUAUAAUACACCUCUUCAGGUAAUAUACCAUCCACUAUAUAAUACACCUCUUCAGG